GGAUGAAGACCCUCUGCGAUUUCUGACACCUCGUAAGACAGCUGCAUCCAUAGCCUGAUUCUAGUGCUGGACUGAGGGCCC